GCACUGGGUAAAGUUUGUCCUA
rnacentral:miRNA from 6 species